rnacentral:rRNA from 1 species
GCGAGCGGCGGAUGGGUGAGUAACACGUGGGGAACCUGCCCCUAAGUCUGGGAUACCAUUUGGAAACAGGUGCUAAUACCGGAUAAUAAAGCAGAUCGCAUGAUCAGCUUUUGAAAGGCGGCGUAAGCUGUCGCUAAGGGAUGGCCCCGCGGUGCAUUAGCUAGUUGGUAAGGUAACGGCUUACCAAGGCGACGAUGCAUAGCCGAGUUGAGAGACUGAUCGGCCACAUUGGGACUGAGACACGGCCCAAACUCCUACGGGAGGCAGCAGUAGGGAAUCUUCCACAAUGGACGCAAGUCUGAUGGAGCAACGCCGCGUGAGUGAAGAAGGUUUUCGGAUCGUAAAGCUCUGUUGUUGGUGAAGAAGGAUAGAGGUAGUAACUGGCCUUUAUUUGACGGUAAUCAACCAGAAAGUCACGGCUAACUACGUGCCAGCAGCCGCGGUAAUACGUAGGUGGCAAGCGUUGUCCGGAUUUAUUGGGCGUAAAGCGAGCGCGGGCGGAAAAAUAAGUCUAAUGUGAAAGCCCUCGGCUUAACCGAGGAACUGCAUCGGAAACUGUUUUUCUUGAGUGCAGAAGAGGAGAGUGGAACUCCAUGUGUAGCGGUGGAAUGCGUAGAUAUAUGGAAGAACACCAGUGGCGAAGGCGGCUCUCUGGUCUGCAACUGACGCUGAGGCUCGAAAGCAUGGGUAGCGAACAGGAUUAGAUACCCUGGUAGUCCAUGCCGUAAACGAUGAGUGCUAAGUGUUGGGAGGUUUCCGCCUCUCAGUGCUGCAGCUAACGCAUUAAGCACUCCGCCUGGGGGAGUACGACCGCAAGGUUGAAACUCAAAGGAAUUGAC